UCCGAAAUACAGUGGCGGUCUCGCCGCAGCCUCUCCUGCGCAGUAGUUUGCACACUCGCAUCGGGAGCGCGGCGCGUCCACAGCCGUUAAACACCCAACUUCUGAAAUGUUGACCUCGGAUCAGGUAGGAAUACCCGCUGAACUUAAGCAUAUCAAUAAGCGGAGGAAAAGAAACCAACAGGGAUUGCCCCAGUAACGGCGAGUGAAGCGGCAACAGCUCAAAUUUGAAAUCUGGCCCCUAGGGUCCGAGUUGUAAUUUGUAGAGGAUGCUUUUGGUGAGGUGCCGCCCGAGUUCCCUGGAACGGGACGCCACAGAGGGUGAGAGCCCCGUCUGGCUGGCCGCCGAGCCUCUGUAAAGCUCCUUCGACGAGUCGAGUAGUUUGGGAAUGCUGCUCAAAAUGGGAGGUAUAUGUCUUCUAAAGCUAAAUAUUGGCCAGAGACCGAUAGCGCACAAGUAGAGUGAUCGAAAGAUGAAAAGCACCUUGAAAAGAGGGUUAAAUAGUACGUGAAAUUGUUGAAAGGGAAGCGCUUGUGACCAGACUUGGGCGCGGCGGAUCAUCCGGGGUUCUCUCCGGUGCACUUCGCCGCGUCUAGGCCAGCAUCAGUUCGUCGCGGGGGAAAAAGGCUUCGGGAACGUGGCUCCUCCGGGAGUGUUAUAGCCCGUUGCAUAAUACCCUGCGG
rnacentral:rRNA from 1 species